AAAGAUCUCCAGCCUGCUCACAGGACUCCUUGUGAGUAGCCAGCAGCCCAGGCCUCCUCCAGUGGGGUGUGACUCAGCAACUGCAAGGAGGCUUCUACUCCACAAAGCUCCAUAUUCUGAGGAUAGGAGAUUGUAUAUUUCAUUCUGUAUUUCAUCCUUUUAAGUGGUAAGCUCUAUCAGGCACAACACAAGUGCCCGGAGUCUGCAGUGCUUGCUGUGAAGGGCCAACAAAGAUCUCCAGCCUGCUCACAGGACUCCUUGUGAGUAGCCAGCAGCCCAGGCCUCCUCCAGUGGGGUGUGACUCAGCAACUGCAAGGAGGCUUCUACUCCAUCAAGCUCCAUAUUCUGAGGAUAGGAGAUUGUAUAUUUCAUCCUGUAUUUCAUCCUUUUAAGUGGCUGUUCCAGUUUCCAUGCGCCGGCAGCCUGGGCAAAACGAGUCAACUGGGCAAAACUCCAAGACUCUGGCAGCAAACUUGCAGGCUGUUCCAGUUUCCAUGCGCCGGCAGCCUGGGCAAAAUGAGUCAACUGGGCAAAACUCCAAGACUCUGGCAGCAAGCUUGCAGGUCUGUUUGCUGUGAAGGGCCAACAAAGAUCUCCAGCCUGCUCACAGGACUCCUUGUGAGUAGCUAGCAGCCCAGGCCUCCUCCAGUGGGGUGUGACACAGCAACUGCAAGGAGGUUUCUACUCCACAAAGCUCCAUAUUCUGAGGAUAGGAGAUUGUAUAUUUCAUCCUGUAUUUCAUCCUUUUAAGUGGCUGUUCCAGUUUCCAUGCGCCGGCAGCCUGGGCAAAACGAGUCAACUGGGCAAAACUCCAAGACUCUGGCAGCAAACUUGCAGGUCUGUUUCUUGGUAAACCUCUGGCAACAUGUCCAUAAAUCCAUAAAUCCACAUUUUUUCCUUUUCAGUCUACACAAGGUCCAAAGUGGGUCACCUCCUAUUAUAGGAAGAUAUAUGGCGGCUGUUCCAGUUUCCAUGCGCCGGCAGCCUGGGCAAAAUGAGUCAACUGGGCAAAACUCCAAGACUCUGGCAGCAAGCUUGCAGGUCUGUUUGCUGUGAAGGGCCAACAAAGAUCUCCAGCCUGCUCACAGGACUCCUUGUGAGGAGCCAGCGGCCCAGGCCUCCUCCAGUGGGGUG